rnacentral:rRNA from 1 species
GAUGAACGCUGGCGGCGUGCCUAAUACAUGCAAGUCGAGCGAACAGACGAGGAGCUUGCUCCUCUGACGUUAGCGGCGGACGGGUGAGUAACACGUGGAUAACCUACCUAUAAGACUGGGAUAACUUCGUGAAACCGGAGCUAAUACCGGAUAACAUGUUGAACCGCAUGGUUCAACAGUGAAAGACGGUCUUGCUGUCACUUAUAGAUGGAUCCGCGCCGCAUUAGCUAGUUGGUAAGGUAACGGCUUACCAAGGCAACGAUGCGUAGCCGACCUGAGAGGGUGAUCGGCCAAACUGGAACUGAGACACGGUCCAGACUCCUACGGGAGGCAGCAGUAGGGAAUCUUCCGCAAUGGGCGAAAGCCUGACGGAGCAACGCCGCGUGAGUGAAGAAGGUCUUCGGAUCGUAAAACUCUGUUAUUAGGGAAGAACAAAUGUGUAAGUAACUAUGCACGUCUUGACGGUACCUAAUCAGAAAGCCACGGCUAACUACGUG